rnacentral:rRNA from 1 species
AACGAACGCUGGCGGCAUGCCUAACACAUGCAAGUCGAACGAGACCUUCGGGUCUAGUGGCGCAGGUGCGUAACGCGUGGGAACCUGCCCUUAGGUUCGGAAUAACUCCCCGAAAGGGGUGCUAAUACCGGAUAAUGUCUUCGGACCAAAGAUUUAUCGCCUUUGGAUGGGCCCGCGUUGGAUUAGCUAGUUGGUAGGGUAAAAGCCUACCAAGGCGACGAUCCAUAGCUGGUCUGAGAGGAUGAUCAGCCACACUGGGACUGAGACACGGCCCAGACUCCUACGGGAGGCAGCAGUGGGGAAUAUUGGACAAUGGGCGAAAGCCUGAUCCAGCAAUGCCGCGUGAGUGAUGAAGGCCUUAGGGUUGUAAAGCUCUUUUACCCGGGAUGAUAAUGACAGUACCGGGAGAAUAAGCUCCGGCUAACUCCGUG